AGAGUUUGAUCCUGGCUCAGAUUGAACGCUGGCGGCAUGCCUUACACAUGCAAGUCGAACGGCAGCACGGGAGCAAUCCUGGUGGCGAGUGGCGAACGGGUGAGUAAUAUAUCGGAACGUGCCCAGUAGUGGGGGAUAGCCCGGCGAAAGCCGGAUUAAUACCGCAUACGACCUGUGGGUGAAAGCGGGGGAUCGCAAGACCUCGCGCUAUUGGAGCGGCCGAUAUCAGAUUAGCUUGUUGGUGGGGUAAAAGCCCACCAAGGCGACGAUCUGUAGCUGGUCUGAGAGGACGACCAGCCACACUGGGACUGAGACACGGCCCAGACUCCUACGGGAGGCAGCAGUGGGGAAUUUUGGACAAUGGGCGCAAGCCUGAUCCAGCCAUGCCGCGUGUGGGAAGAAGGCCCUCGGGUUGUAAACCACUUUUGUCAGGGAAGAAACGGUCUGAUCUAAUACAUUGGGCUAAUGACGGUACCUGAAGAAUAAGCACCGGCUAACUACGUGCCAGCAGCCGCGGUAAUACGUAGGGUGCAAGCGUUAAUCGGAAUUACUGGGCGUAAAGCGUGCGCAGGCGGCUUUGCAAGACAGAUGUGAAAUCCCCGGGCUCAACCUGGGAACUGCAUUUGUGACUGCAUGGCUAGAGUACGGUAGAGGGGGAUGGAAUUCCGCGUGUAGCAGUGAAAUGCGUAGAUAUGCGGAGGAACACCGAUGGCGAAGGCAAUCCCCUGGACCUGUACUGACGCUCAUGCACGAAAGCGUGGGGAGCAAGCAGGAUUAGAUACCCUGGUAGUCCACGCCCUAAACGAUGUCAACUGGUUGUUGGACGGCUUGCUGUUCAGUAACGAAGCUAACGCGUGAAGUUGACCGCCUGGGGAGUACGGCCGCAAGGUUGAAACUCAAAUGAAUUGACGG
rnacentral:rRNA from 1 species